rnacentral:rRNA from 1 species
AGAGUUUGAUUAUGGCUCAGAAUGAACGCUGGCGGCGUGCCUAACACAUGCAAGUCGGACGCGAACAGGGCUUCGGCCCUAAGUAGAGUGGCGCACGGGUGAGUAACGCGUAGGUAAUCUACCUCUGGAUUGGGGAUAACUCUGCGAAAGCGGAGCUAAUACCGAAUGGUCUGGCUUUAUUUUGAUGAAGUCGGUAAAGGAUGCCUCUGCAUAUGCAUCUGUCCAGAGAUGAGCCUGCGUCCCAUUAGCUAGUUGGUAGGGUAAAGGCCUACCAAGGCGACGAUGGGUAGCUGGUCUGAGAGGAUGAUCAGCCACACUGGAACUGGAACACGGUCCAGACUCCUACGGGAGGCAGCAGUGGGGAAUAUUGGGCAGUGGGCGCAAGCCUGACCCAGCAACGCCGUGUGAGGGAUGAAGGCCUUCGGGUCGUAAACCUCUGUCAGAAGGGAAGAACGGGCACAGUUCGAAUAGGGCUGUGUUUUGACGGUACCUUCAGAGGAAGCACCGGCUAACUCCGUGCCAGCAGCCGCGGUAAUACGGAGGGUGCGAGCGUUAUUCGGAAUCACUGGGCGUAAAGGGCGCGUAGGCGGCCUGGUAAGUCAGGGGUGAAAUCCCACGGCUCAACCGUGGAAUUGCCUUUGAAACUGCUGGGCUUGGAUCCUGGAGAGGGUGGCGGAAUUCCUGGUGUAGGAGUGAAAUCCGUAGAUAUCAGGAGGAACACCGGUGGCGAAGGCGGCCACCUGGACAGGUAUCGACGCUGAGGCACGAAAGCGUGGGUAGCGAACAGGAUUAGAUACCCUGGUAGUCCACGCCGUAAACGAUGAAUACUAGGUGUCGGGCGUCAAAACUCGGUGCCGCAGCAAACGCAUUAAGUAUUCCGCCUGGGGAGUACGCACGCAAGUGUGAAACUCAAAGGAAUUGACGGGGACCCGCACAAGCAGCGGAGCAUGUGGUUUAAUUCGAAGCAACGCGAAGAACCUUACCAGGUCUUGACAUCCCUCUGAAGUAGCCUUAGCCGGCUAUGUCCUUCGGGACAGAGGAGACAGGUGGUGCAUGGUUGUCGUCAGCUCGUGUCGUGAGAUGUUGGGUUAAGUCCCGCAACGAGCGCAACCCUUAUGUUUAGUUGUCAUCAGGUAAAGCUGGACCCUCUAGACAGACUGCCGUGGAUAACACGGAGGAAGGUGGGGAUGACGUCAAAUCAUCAUGCCCCUUAUGAUCUGGGCUACACACGUGCUACAAUGGUCGGUACAACAGGCAGCGAAGUCGUAAGAUGGAGCGAAUCCUAAAAAGCCGAUCCCAGUUCGGAUUGUGGGCUGAAACUCGCCCACAUGAAGUUGGAGUUGCUAGUAAUCGCGAAUCAGAAUGUCGCGGUGAAUGCGUUCCCGGGUCUGUACACACCCCCGUC